UAGCGUAAGAGACUAGUGUUAUUCAUCAGAAAUUAGGUUUAAAGGGUACCUAGACGGUCAAAAUAGCAUAGUAUGACUACUUGACUAGAGUUUUAUGGAAGAGGGCAGAAUCUGCGGAGUAGAGAUUAUAUUUUAUGAUCCCAAAAGGGACUGGUAACGGUGAAGAACAGCCCUCUAUGGUAAAAACUGACGUUGACGGGACGAAGGCACAGGUCACGAAC
rnacentral:rRNA from 1 species